rnacentral:rRNA from 1 species
GUGGGGAAUUUUGGACAAUGGGCGCAAGCCUGAUCCAGCCAUUCCGCGUGCAGGAUGAAGGCCUUCGGGUUGUAAACUGCUUUUGUACGGAACGAAAAGCCUCUGGUUAAUACCCGGGGGUCAUGACGGUACCGUAAGAAUAAGCACCGGCUAACUACGUGCCAGCAGCCGCGGUAAUACGUAGGGUGCGAGCGUUAAUCGGAAUUACUGGGCGUAAAGCGUGCGCAGGCGGUGAUGUAAGACAGUUGUGAAAUCCCCGGGCUCAACCUGGGAACUGCAUCUGUGACUGCAUUGCUGGAGUGCGGCAGAGGGGGAUGGAAUUCCGCGUGUAGCAGUGAAAUGCGUAGAUAUGCGGAGGAACACCGAUGGCGAAGGCAAUCCCCUGGGCCUACACUGACGCUCAUGCACGAAAGCGUGGGGAGCAAACAGGAUUAGAUACCCCGGUAGUCC